rnacentral:rRNA from 1 species
AACGAACGCUGGCGGCAUGCCUAACACAUGCAAGUCGAACGAGACCUUCGGGUCUAGUUGCGCACGGGUGCGUAACGCGUGGGAACCUGCCCUUAGGUUCGGAAUAACUCCCCGAAAGGGGUGCUAAUACCGGAUAAUGUCUUCGGACCAAAGAUUUAUCGCCUUUGGAUGGGCCCGCGUUGGAUUAGCUAGUUGGUAGGGUAAAAGCCUACCAAGGCGACGAUCCAUAGCUGGUCUGAGAGGAUGAUCAGCCACACUGGGAAUGAGACACGGCCCAGACUCGUACGGGAGGCAGCAGUGGGGAAUAUUGGACAAUGGGCGAAAGCCUGAUCAAGCAAUGCCGCGUGAGUGAUGAAGGCGUUAGGGUUGUAAAGCUCUUUUACCCGGGAUGAUAAUGACAGUACCGGGAGAAUAAGCACCGGCUAACUCCAUG